GACGAACGCUGGCGGCGUGCUUAACACAUGCAAGUCGAGCGGUAAGGCCCUUUCGGGGGUACACGAGCGGCGAACGGGUGAGUAACACGUGGGUGACCUGCCCUCAGCUCUGGGAUAAGCCUGGGAAACCGGGUCUAAUACUGGAUAUGACUCCAUGACGCAUGUUGUGGGGUGGAAAGCCUUGUGCGGCUGAGGAUGGGCCCGCGGCCUAUCAGCUUGUUGGUGGGGUGANGGCCUACCAAGGCGACGACGGGUAGCCGGCCUGAGAGGGCGACCGGCCACACUGGGACUGAGACACGGCCCAGACUCCUACGGGAGGCAGCAGUGGGGAAUCUUGCGCAAUGGGACGAAAGCCUGACGCAGCGACGCCGCGU
rnacentral:rRNA from 1 species